rnacentral:tRNA from 1 species
ACGGGAGUAGUCGAGCAGUCAAGACACGCGGCUUUGACCCGCGAAGCGAAGGUGCGAGUCCUUCCUCCCGUA